UAGUCCUCAGUGGGUACCGCCCAAAACCACAUCGAUCCACCCACUAAGUCUACAGAAGGGAGCAAGAAUAGUCGGAAAAGCAGGAAGUAAACUCUACCGCUAUCAAUCACUACACUAUCAUGCUCUACACUAACCAACUGUAGGAAGAGUCAAAACUGGCUCAGUCUCACUAGGGACUGUGAACACACCCGUCCCGCCUGUCGGAUCGAACCCGUAACCUACUCCAGGAGUAGCUGGUGGAGAAAACUCUCUAGGGACUGUGAAUACACCCAUCCCGUCUAAUUAGGUGACACCGUAGCUCAAGAGUAACCGGCGGAGAAGACUCUUUAGAGACUGUGAAUACACCCGUCUCGUCUACUAGACUACACCGUAUCUCAAGAGUAACCGGCGGAGAAGACUCUCUAGAGACUGUGAAUACACCUGUCUCGCCUAAUUAGACUACACUAUAUCUCAAGAGUAGUCGGUUCCCGAAAAGGUCCAACUGGAUGGCUAAGACUCUACUCACGUUACAACCUCACUAAAGGUAGGAAAAAGUGUCACUCACUAUCUCAUCUGGGCUGCCCAAAACGGACCCACCCUGCCUGUAUCUAGCUGCGCCGUACACCACCCCGAGGGUAGCCGGCUUAAGAACUGUCCAACAGAAACUGCGACACUCAUCGCACUGAAACCUCAUUCCGGAAUGGCAUUCGUGGGCGCGACCCAACGAGUUUACAAGUAUCUCUGUCAAGUUCAUACUGCUCUCACAGGCUAAGGUCAAGUAACCGACUCUAACUGGUCUAACAACCAACAUGUCACGUGCCCUCGACACAAUCCGACGCCAAAACGGCGAUAUGGGUCCACCGUCAACCCCGACGGCAUCCAACAGUCCGGAACAGCCUAAACG
rnacentral:lncRNA from 1 species